GUCCAGAUCUUGGGCACGAUAACACGGGGAAACAGUCUCUCUGGCAGGGUCCGGGAGCGGUUCAAUCAUCGAUCAAACAGCUCGCGAGUUCGAGGCGAUCGCGAGCGGAUUUGUUACGGGGCAUCGUCGCAGGUCGCGGCGACGGUGCUUCCGCGACAUCGAUCAUCGUCCAGUCUCUUCGGGAUCAAGGUUCCACACACGGGCUGUGAUUUUCGCGUGACCCGGGCUCAGGGGACCGAGCUGCUCUCUGGACCAGUCACGGGCACACCGGAGAACGACGACGUUUCCUCGGCCAUGGAUCGUGCGGGGCCCGCGCGCGUCCCGUAGUCGGGUCACCAGUCGAAUCCACUUGGCCUCGUGGGCUUUACGUCAUUAUCGUCUCCGUCAUCCUGGCACGGCGAUGCGUGGCCGUUGUUCGUUAUUCUCGCUUCCGGAAGAAAACACACCGGGACAACACGGGAACUAUCACCUUGCGGGGAACACGACUCGCGUACGGGGCACGCGUGUCGAUCGCGACGCGUCACGGGUCCGCUCGGUCCCUCGAAAAAGCUCGUGCCGAUGACGUUUCGGAGCCGAACGACUCGUUUCGGCUAUGCACUUCACGGGGAAGCAGUGGCUCGAGCCUGCCGCGACCGCCACCAGAUGGCAGCCUCUGUCGAACCACCACCGUUCGCCACCACCCCGCCCGGAUUACAGCUUCUCGCACCCCGGCGCGCCCCGCCGCGCCCCUUUCCCGCGCAUCACCCUUCGAACGAUCCCGGUCGCCUGCUCGGCAGAGUAUCUUCCAGAGAGGUGAAUUUCUCGGCGAUCGGAUCCGCGAUGGAAAUUACGCGAAAUGUACAUCGGAAUGUUCGACCCCCUGAGGGCAGCGCGAGAGACCGUUCCAUUGGUUCGACGCGGUUCAGGGGUAGCGCGCGCACGCGCCCAACCACCGACCGCUCUGCCCGCUAUUCGUUCGAUCCGUUAGCAGCCUGUAUUCCUCGGCCAGAUAGACUGUUCCGUCUCCAAAGCGAUAACUCUCCUAUCUCGCAUCCCCUAUCUCUCUGCUGGCCCGGCAACGGCGGACACACGCGAUUCCCACAUCCGGUCGAUCGACUCGAUCUUUCGUCGGCGGCACGACGAUCGCGAGGACGAACGGGGGACACCGCGCGCGGUAACGGGGUCACCAGGUGUCGAAAGGGGCGAGCUUUGUCGGUCAACCCGAGCAGUCGCGUCCCUUUAAGACGACGCCGUCCGACCAUAAUUACCGAAGCCAUCGAGGUUAUAUUUCGGCGUCCCGCGACGCCGCGAACCGUGCCAUCGAAACGAGGCGUAGGUAGGACUUUCGAAACGCUCCGUAUGAAUCACCGGAGGUAAGAAAAGAGCGGCCGGGGGCAAGAAACUGUUAGUCAUCGUCCGAUGAUCUCGGAGCGAGAGACGCGGCGAAUCGAGUCGACUCGACUCGACUCGACUCGACUCGGGUUCGAGUCGAGUCAGCAUCAUCGUGAAGGUACAAACGUUGCAUGCAAUUAAGGAACAAUCGAGGAUGCCGCUUCAAUGAGCCGCGCCGAGGCGAGCCAGGAAUCAAAGAUAGCGUACGCGAUUGGCGAGAGCGAGCCGGGUGGGAAGAGAAAGAAAGGCGGCGGGAAAGAGCGAGGAGUGGGGAGGGAAGAGAAAAGAGAGGCUCGGCUGGUACGAACAACGUGUAGCGGAUCUUCUACGCAGGAUCGUCGACCUUGCCGGCCAGAGAUAUAGAGGAAACGAUGCCCGCAGCCAGUAUGGGAGAUCGAGCGCCAGAUGCCCGAGGACUUAACCCUCCACUAAAUUUUUCCCGGGCUUCCAGACUUCCUGCGGCGUCAUUAAUCGUAUUGUCUGUCCUUCGAAGACGAAUGGCUUCCUUGAGUCUAUCGUGAUCCACGAUUCCACCCUUCGUUAACAUUUUUAUGAAUUAUAUUUUCUUCCCUGCGAUUACCUUGCCGAGGUGAACACUUGGUUGGGUUUCGUGACUUUUCGCGCGCAAAAAUGGCGCACGAUACUGGCGAACGACGACGUUGAGUUUCGACGUUCGGUUAUUUAUUAAUGAGAUCUUUUAUUAGCGAUAAGAUGCACAUGUUUUUAGUAAAUAAAAUUAAAUAAAAAUUAGAUUAAGUUGUACAAUAAAAUAAAAUAAAAUUAGAUUAAGUUAAA